AGAGUUUGAUCCUGGCUCAGAGUGAACGCUGGCGGCAGGCCUAACACAUGCAAGUCGAGCGGCAGCGCGGGGCAACCUGGCGGCGAGCGGCGGACGGGUGAGGAAUGCAUCGGAAUCUACCCUGUCGUGGGGGAUAACGUAGGGAAACUUACGCUAAUACCGCAUACGACCGAGAGGUGAAAGUGGGGGACCGCAAGGCCUCACGCGAUUGGAUGAGCCGAUGCCGGAUUAGCUAGUUGGUGGGGUAAAGGCCCACCAAGGCGACGAUCCGUAGCUGGUCUGAGAGGAUGAUCAGCCACAUUGGGACUGAGACACGGCCCAAACUCCUACGGGAGGCAGCAGUGGGGAAUAUUGGACAAUGGGCGCAAGCCUGAUCCAGCCAUGCCGCGUGUGUGAAGAAGGCCUUCGGGUUGUAAAGCACUCUUGUUCGGGAAGAAAUCGUGCGGAUUAAUACUUCGUACGGAUGACGGUACCGAAAGAAUAAGCACCGGCUAACUUCGUGCCAGCAGCCGCGGUAAUACGAAGGGUGCAAGCGUUACUCGGAAUCACUGGGCGUAAAGCGUGCGUAGGCGGUUCGUUAAGUCUGCUGUGAAAGCCCUGGGCUCAACCUGGGAACUGCAGUGGAUACUGGCGGACUAGAGUGUGAUAGAGGAUGGUGGAAUUCCCGGUGUAGCGGUGAAAUGCGUAGAGAUCGGGAGGAACACCAGUGGCGAAGGCGGCCAUCUGGAUCAACACUGACGCUGAGGCACGAAAGCGUGGGGAGCAAACAGGAUUAGAUACCCUGGUAGUCCACGCCCUAAACGAUGCGAACUGGACGUUGGUUGCAACUUGGCGAUCAGUGUCGAAGCUAACGCGUUAAGUUCGCCGCCUGGGGAGUACGGUCGCAAGACUGAAACUCAAAGGAAUUGACGGGGGCCCGCACAAGCGGUGGAGUAUGUGGUUUAAUUCGAUGCAACGCGAAGAACCUUACCUGGCCUUGACAUCCAGUGAACUUUCCAGAGAUGGAUUGGUGCCUUCGGGAACACUGAGACAGGUGCUGCAUGGCUGUCGUCAGCUCGUGUCGUGAGAUGUUGGGUUAAGUCCCGCAACGAGCGCAACCCUUGUCCUUAGUUGCCAGCACGUAAUGGUGGGAACUCUAAGGAGACUGCCGGUGACAAACCGGAGGAAGGUGGGGAUGACGUCAAGUCAUCAUGGCCCUUACGGCCAGGGCUACACACGUACUACAAUGGUCGGUACAGAGGGUUGCAAUGCCGCGAGGUGGAGCCAAUCCCAGAAAACCGAUCCCAGUCCGGAUCGGAGUCUGCAACUCGACUCCGUGAAGUCGGAAUCGCUAGUAAUCGCGGAUCAGCUAUGCCGCGGUGAAUACGUUCCCGGGCCUUGUACACACCGCCCGUCACACCAUGGGAGUUGGUUGCUCCAGAAGUAGGUAGUCUAACCGCAAGGAGGACGCUUACCACGGAGUAGUCAAUGACUGGGGUGAAGUCGUAACAAGGUA
rnacentral:rRNA from 1 species